GAUGAAGACGCAGCGAAAUGCGAUAAGUAGUGUGAAUUGCAGAAUUCAGUGAAUCAUCGAAUCUUUGAACGCACAUUGCGCCCCUUGGUAUUCCAUGGGGCAUGCCUGUUCGAGCGUCAUUUGUACCCUCAAGCUUUGCUUGGUGUUGGGCGUCUUGUCUUGUAUUAGACUCGCCUUAAAGUCAUUGGCAGCCAGUGUUUUUGGUAGUAAGCGCAGCACAUUUUGCGUCUUAGUCCUUGAAUCGUGGCAUCCAUGAAGCCUUUUUUCACUUUUGACCUCGGAUCAGGUAGGGAUACCCGCUGAACUUAAGCAUAUCAAUAAGCGGAGGA
rnacentral:misc_RNA from 1 species